AUUGAACGCUGGCGCAUGCUUUACACAUGCAAGUCGAACGGUAACAGGGAGCUUGCUCCGCUGACGAGUGGCGAACGGGUGAGUAAUGCGUCGGAACGUGCCGAGUAGUGGGGGAUAACGCAUCGAAAGGUGUGCUAAUACCGCAUACGAACUGAGGUUGAAAGUGGGGGACCUUCGGGCCUCACGCUAUUCGAGCGGCCGAAGUCUGAUUAGCUAGUUGGUGAGGUAGAGGCUCACCAAGGCGACGAUCAGUAGCGGGUCUGAGAGGAUGAUCCGCCACACUGGGACUGAGACACGGCCCAGACUCCUACGGGAGGCAGCAGUGGGGAAUUUUGGACAAUGGGCGCAAGCCUGAUCCAGCCAUGCCGCGUGUCUGAAGAAGGCCUUCGGGUUGUAAAGGACUUUUGUCCGGGAGCAAAUGCUGGUGGCUAACAUCCACCGGAGCUGAGAGUACCGGAAGAAUAAGCACCGGCUAACUACGUGCCAGCCGCCGCGGUAACAC
rnacentral:rRNA from 1 species